UACGUAGGGGGCAAGCGUUGUCCGGAAUCAUUGGGCGUAAAGCGCGUGUAGGCGGUUCAGUAAGUCUGCUGUGAAAGUCCAGGGCUCAACCCUGGGAUGCCGGUGGAUACUGCUGGACUAGAGUGCGGAAGAGGCGAGUGGAAUUCCCGGUGUAGUGGUGAAAUGCGUAGAUAUCGGGAGGAACACCAGUGGCGAAGGCGACUUCCUGGCCUGUUCUUGACGCUGAGGCGCGAAAGCUAGGGGAGCAAACGGG
rnacentral:rRNA from 1 species